rnacentral:lncRNA from 1 species
GCCGGAAAACCAAAGAUUGAACGAAGUCAAGCCCAAAGAAACCCAAAAGGUAAAUAAACGAUGCGAAAAACGCGAGAAUCGCGAUGAUCUCAGAAAAGGUGACGACAUGGAGAGGCGUGGAGGUACGGAUCUUCUCACGCCAACGGGAAAGAAGGAAAUAAACCACCGAGAAGAAGAGGGUAAAGAACACCGCAUUCGUCAGAUGAAAAGGAAGCGGCAAUGCGUCGGAGGCUUUAGUGGGAUCUUCCUCUAAAGGAAUCUUCUUCGUGGGCUUGAGAGAUUGAACUCGUUUAGUCGAAUACAGCCGGGGAGCCUCCAUUUUGGGUGUCGACGGCGGCGGAAACCCGGCGGUGGAGGAGGAGAAUAGAAGAGGAAUGAAAGUAAGAGAUGAUUUCAGUUAGUUUUACGAUUAUGGUGAAGGUGGAGCUUGAGAUGCUAGAGUUUAGGGAGGGAAGGGGAGUAUUUAUAGGAUAAAGAGUAAAGAGAGCGUGAGGAAAAAGGCGCGUGAAGUGAAGAUGGGGCAGUGUUUGGCACUUGUUAGUGUGGAGCUUUACCAAGAGAAGAGUCAAAGAAAGAAUUAUAGGGAUAGUGUUUGGAAGCGUGCAGUGCAUGGGAGCAACGUCGUCAGCACAUCCUGGCUGCUUCAUUUUCAUUUAGGGUAAACUACACAAUCAGUCACUAAAGUAUGGGUACGUUUUUGUUUUGAUCACUGAACUAAAAAAGUUACAAUUUUGUUACUGAACUAUUCAAAAGUUUCCAUUUAAGUCACUGAGCUGUUAAAAUCGAUGCUACACAGCUUUUUCUCUUCACACUGCCUACAUGAAUCGGAAGUUCUCUUUCCCUUUCUUUUUUACGAUUCAAUUUUUUUCUACAACUUUUUUCUUCGUUAGAAAAUGACCUUCAGAUCGACUUGAAUCUAAGAUAUGUUCUUUUACUUGCUAAUGGGUAUUGAUCCACUGUACCAGUCGUUGAGUCGUCACUUGGAGCUCGUUGACAGAAUUUUUAAAAAAAAAUAGUUAACAACCUAGUGACUUAAACAAUUUUUUUUGAAUAGUUCAAUGACUUAAAUGAAAAAUUUCAAAUAUUUUAGUGACCAAAUUGUAACUUUUUAGUUAAGUGACCAAAACGAAAACUUAUCCAUAAUUUAGUGACUAAUAAUAUAAUUUUCCAUUCAUUAUAUUUGGUCUUUCUCCCUAUUUUGAUAUUUUCUGUCACGUGUUUUUCAUUAUUGUAUGGGUUUAAUUAUUCCUUAUUUUGGGUUGUUUUUCAUAAUAAAUUAUCCAAAUAAAUAUUAACGCUGUUGUUAAGUUAUAUACAUUUUUGGGCAAAUGUCUAUUAAAAGAAAUAGAAAUGAAAGAAAGUCGUAUUUAUUAUUAGCAUAAUUUUUUUACCUUCCAAAUUUAUAAAAAAAUUAUUUAUUUUAUCUCUUUUAGUCUUUCAAUUUAUUUUUUUAUCAAAUUAUUUCAAAAUGAAUUAAAAAGUUAAAAUUCUUUAACUUUGUUGAUGUUACAUACACGUGGAUUACCAUCUAGAUAACACAUAAAUAUUUAAAAUCUUAAAAACAUUAACAAAUAUAUAUUUUUAUAAUUUUAUACUUUUAUAAUACUUUUAUUGGUUUUUAAAUUUUAAAAAUAGUUUUUAAAAAUAUAUUUUUAAAAUUUUAAAUUUAAAAAAAUUAAUUAAAUACCGGCGUGUUAUCCACGUGACAAUGCACGUGUAUUCAAGUAAGCAAAGUUAAACAACAUCAACUUUUUCAUUCAUUUUGAGGUAAUUUGAUAAAAAAAUUAGUUUAAGAGCUAAAAAAGGACAAAAUUAAAUAGAAAACUAAAAUGACAUUUUUUUGUAAAGUUAAAGAAUCAAAUAAAUUAUUAUGCCUUUAUUAUUUAAUAAAAUUUAUGCAAAGUAGGACUUUGACUUGAAUUCAUAAUUAAUUUUGAUUUUUUCCUUUUGCUCGUAAUUAAUUGGAUAAGUUUAUAAUUUAAAUUAAUAUGUAAAAAAAUUAAAAUAUAGAGCUUUCACAGCUCAUUUUUCCUUUUUAGAUUAUUAUUUUUUUGCAUGUUUAUUAAAUUAAAGUUCAAAUUUGACAUUUUUAAUAUUUUAAUAUAAUCAAAUUAGACCUAUUUUAUAUUAAAUAAAAUCUAACCCAUUCUUUAAUCCUUAAUUUUCACGUUUCUGUAUUUUUUUCCCAUCAAUUCAAGCAGCCUCUUGCUCUGUAGUCAUAUGUAUGUAUAUAUGACAAUAAUUAUUAUUCGGUUUACGUGGACUUUUAUACAAUAAUGAAGAUUUUUUUUAGGGUAAAUUAUUAAAACAUCAUUUCAAAAAUCAAGUGUAAUAAACAAAAUCCUUAAUCCAAUAAUAAUAAUAAUAAUAAAUUGGAUCUUUGAAUUAUCGUUUCUAUCACGACUCUUGAUAAUUAAUUACUGACAUGAUAAGUGAUGUGGUGGGUGACAUGAAACUUUUGAUGAUAUGGUGGUUGAUAUGGAGGACUUAAUUGAUUUUUGUUAUUAUUUUAGGAGGCUUAAUUGAUGUUUAAGGAUUAUAUAACAAUUCUUAAGAAAUUAUUGAAAAUUAUUAAAAAAACAAAAAUGGAAAGAAAAUAUUAAAAUUAUUAUAAAAUUUUAGCUAAAAGUUAUUAAAAUAUUUAAAAAAUGUUGAAAAUUAUACAACUAUAGAAUUUAUUAAAUAUCAUAAAAUUUUAAAACUAUUAUUAAUAUGUUAUGAAAAUAAUGGAAAUAUUAAAUUAAUAUUAUAAAAAAUUUAGAAAUGAUAGGAAAUGAUAUAAAAACAAUUAAAAUGAUAAAAAAAUAAAAAUAAAAAUUAUUGAAAGUAUAAAAAAUUUGAGUUAAGGUAGUGAUUGUAUAGACGAUAAAAAUUUUAUAUGCUUAAAAGUUAAUGACAUGGUUUAUUCUAUUCGUGCCUAAAAACAUUAAUUUAUAAAAUAAUUUAUUUUUAUAAAUAUUAAUAUAUACACUUUUUUAGAUUGAUAUGAUAGAAAAAUCGAAUCGAUUAAAAAUUUUACAAUAAAAUGAUUUAAAAAAAAAAUAAAGAAUGUUUUUUGGGCUACGUAAAAGAAUAUUGAUCACUCUAUAAGACUGGUUUUUUAUAUCCUUUUGCAUAUAUUUUAGUAGAUAAGGGAGAAAUUAUUUUCUUUACGCCUCUGGUUUCUAUACGGCUGAAAUUUUCAUUCAGUCAAUGACAUGAAUUUCAAAAUAGGAUGCCUAUUUAAUUUUUAUAAAUACAAAUGAUUGUACCCAAAUAUAAUAAUUUGCAUGCGUAUAUAUAUUUGAAUAAUUUCUGAUAGUUCUCUUUAAUAUUACUUAUAGUCUAUUCCCAGCUCAUAAAUAGGAGGAUAAUGUGAUUCAGCAUACUCAAACCCACGUCAUCUUGCAUUGAAAACAAUAAUCAUACUAAUCGAACUAAGACUCAAUCAACAAUUUGCAUAAUUCAUGCAAUUGGUGAUUAUUAUAAAACAACAUUCAAUAAAUAUUAAUAUUCAAAUGUUAAAUUUAUAAUUGUUUGUGCUAUUUUAGGUUCCAACAAGUUAAAAAUUCGUGUUGGGUUAGUUUUUUUUAUAUAUAUGUUUCUGGAGAUCUGUUAAAGGAUGCAGUCAAUUAUCAGGAGUCACUCUCGAAGGGUCUUAUCAUAUAAUAGAACACAAUAAUGGUAUUUGUUAAAAUUGGAAUCUAAGAUGGUGAAAAGGAGGAUAGCCACCUUUGACUUAACCUUUUGUACAUUAUGGAUGCGAUGAGUCUCUUGAUUGAUCGAAGUUUAUUGUCAGCCUUUUGUACAUCACAGAUGCAGUGAGUCUCUUGACAGAUAUUUCUUGGUUGACUGGAGUUUAUUGUCAGGUUGGUUUGAUGAUGGCACGAUUAAGAUACAAUUUUCAAUGGUUUGAUCAAGAUGGUACAUUUUUUGUUUGUUUUUGAAUUCUUUUAGAGUUACGAAUAUUUUACAAACAUAUAACAUAUGAGCAUCAAUUUAUAAUUUAUUAUAUCCCAUAUUUUUAUAUUCUUAUUAUUCAUGAUUGCUAUUAAUGAUAUGUUUUCUUUGUACAUAUAUGAAAUAGACGAUAAGAUUGAAGUAAUUUCUUUUUCCAAAAUAAUAAGCAUGCAUGAGAAUUGUUCAUCGCCAUGUGCUAAAGACUUGGACUGUUUGUCAAAGUUCUCUUCAAAAAAAUCAUAUAACUCACAAUGAAAGUUUAUAUAUAUAUAUAUAUAUAUAUAUAUAUAAGCAUAGUCAGGCCAACCAAUGUAGAAAAAAACUAACAUGAUAUCAUCUUUUCUUAUUGCCCAGUAUUUAUUUAGCAAAUAUUGACUGUAAUAUUGUCAUGAUUAGACCAUAUUAUUUUUGGACAAGAACAAGGUCAUUUCCAGUAAAUUCAAAAUAAAAUAUUAACUUAGUUUUAAAAUUAGAUUAAAAAGACAAUGUAACCCAAAAAGUUCAAAUAAGCCCCUAUUUUAAUAAAAUCAGUAGGUUCAAAUUUAAAAUUUCGAACAAAAUUAGGUGUCUAUAUAGAUAUUUUGUUAAAUACCAAAAUUUCCAAUGAAUUAUCAAAAUUUCUAAACUUAUACCAGAAUACCAAAAUUUCUAAAGUAAUAGUUGAUAUACCAAAGAUAUUACGUUAUAUGCCACAAUUUUAAGGGAAUACCAAUAUUUCUAAGCAAUCUCAUUAGAAAUUUUGGUAUACCAAAUCAUGUUACACAAACUUUUACCAAAAUUUCUAAGAGUUCAACAUUUUAGAUCACAAUUUCAAAGUAAAUAUCAAUAUUUCUAAGGAACCUCAUUAGAAAUUUUGGUAUACCAAAAUCAUGUUGCACAAGCCUAUACCAAGAUUUUUAAUGAAAUGCUAAAAUUUCUAAGCGCAUAUCUUUAGAUAUUUUGGUAUACCCAAAUCGCGUUAUAGAAGCUUUUACCAAAAUUUCUAAAAGAAUAGUAAUAUUUCUAAGGAACCUUGCUAGAAAUUUUGGUAUAUCAAAAUCAUGUUACACAAGCCUAUACCAAAAUUUUCUAGUGAAAUACCAAAACUUCUAAGCACAUAUCUUUAGAUAUUUUAGUAUAUGCUUCAAUUUCUAAGGGUACCAAUAUUUCUAUGGAACUUUGUCAAAAAUUUUGGUAUGCCAAAAUCAUUUUACACAAGAUUUUACCAAAAUUUCUUAGAGCUUAACCUUAGAUAUUUUGGUAUGUAGCGCAAUUCUUAAGGGAAUAUCAAUAUUUCUAAACAACCUCGUUAGAAAUUUUGGAAUACUAAAAUUAUGUUACACAAGCCUAUAUUAAUAUCUUUAAUGAAAUAUUGAAGUUUUUAAGAGCUUAUCCUUAGAUGUUUUGACAUAUACCACUUUUUGUAAGGGAAUACCAAUAUUUCUAUAGAACUCUGUUAAAAAUUUUAGUAUACCGAAAUCUAGAUUUACAAACUUAUAUCAAGAAUUCUAACAAAAUACCAAUAUUUCUAAUAGCAUAUCCUUAAAUAAUUUGAUAUAUUCCAAAAUUUAUAAUGGAAGACCAAAAUUUCUAUAACUUUCAAUGAACUACAGUUCUUGGUAAAUCUAUAUACCUAUAUAUAUAUAUAUAUAUAUGAAAGGAAAAACAUCCUCCUUUUCUUGAUAGAUGGCACACCUAAAAUCAAUGGCGGACGUUAUAGAUGGCACACCUACAAUCAAUGGCGGAGUCAAGUAGAGGCUUAGGGGACCAUGACCUCCCAAAGUUUAAUUUUUUUUAAUUUAGUCCUUUGUAAAUAUACUAUGGCCCUUCCUAAAAUAUAAGUAGAUCCUCCUAAAGUUUAAGAUUUUUGCAAUUUCCCCCUUUAUAUAUAUUAUGGUUCUCCUAAAAAUAUAAAUACUCCCCUCCAAUAUUUUUAUAGUAUUAAAAAUAAAAUUAAAAAAAUUAUUCUUGAUAAAAACAAAGAAAAAUAUUCUUGAAGAUGCUAAAUUACUCAUGAUGACUUUUGAAUGAUAUUUUUGUUAAAAAAUAAUAAAUCAAUUGUUAUAUUGAAAUACUCCUUCUUUUGAAUUGAUUGUUUAUAUGUUUAAAUCGAUUGUUACGUAACACGUCUAAUUUUAGCAUGAUCCCCUCCAAAAUUAACAUCUUGGCUCCGCCACUGCCUACAAUACUCCUUUUAUUUUGCAUUCAAUAAAAAAAGUUAAAUUUCAAUUUCGGUUCAUCUAAUAUGCCUAAACUUGAGAUUUAAUAUAUAUACUUUAAUUUCUAACAUAAUUUGGUUUCUAUAUAUUAUUAUAAUAUUAUUAAUCAGUUCAAAUAGUUAAUAUUAUUCACUUUUCAAUUAAAAUAUUAUAUGGUUAUAUAUAAUUUGAAUACCUUAAUAGUCUUGGAGGCUAACAUACAGCUUUUUGUUUCAUUUAAGUUCGUGUCAUUUUUUUAACAUUAUAAGAUAAUGGUCAAAUUUUAUUUUUGGCCUCUAGACUAUGUUAAAACUUGAGAUUAAUCUAUAUACUUUAAUAUUUUACAUAAUUUGGGCUAUCUACUUUUAUAAUGUCAUUAGCUGGUCUAAAUAAUUAAUAUUAUUAACUAUUUUAAUUAAAAUGUUGGGUAAAUUUUUCUUAAGAACAUUAUUUCAAGAAGAAAAAAAUUAUUUUAUCGAAUUUAAAUGAGUGUUUUUAAGAGAAACUCCUAAUCAAUAUUUUUAACAUUAUUUUUAUUGUUACAUGACUAUUAAGGGAAUCUUUUUAUUUUAAAAUGUCCACCAGAGAAUUUAAUAUAAUAAUUUUAUCGAUGGUAACAAUUGAGCUAAAAUUUUUAAUUUGAAAAGUAGAUAAUUAUGUUCUUAAAAAUAAAAGUAAGACUAAAUUUCAAAUGAACAAAGUGUAUCAGGUCUUAGAGUAUAUUUUAAUCUUCAAAUUUUUACUUUAUAAUUUCACACAAAUAAAUAAUCAACUUAACGUGAAGCAUGAGAUGAGAACCUUAUUAGUAUUUUUCAAAAGUUGCUUAAUGCGCUUUAAAAGUUAUCAAGUAUUUUACAUUAAGGCAAAAAAAAAGAGAGAGAGUAAACUACACUCAAUUUCACUAAACUACUAGUAAAUUUACAUUUAGGUUACUCAACUUCAGAAAGUUAUAAAAUGAUCAUUGAACUAUUUGAAAGUUUUCAUUUAACUUGGCGGACUGUUAAAAUCAUUGAUGUAUGGCCUUUCCUAUUUGCAUCGCAAACACCAAUUGAAAGCUUUCCUUCCCUUUCUCUUCUACAUUUCAAUUUUUUUUCAUGAAAUAACUUUGAACGUGACAAAUCUGUAAACAAAAAUCUAAACAGCUUUCUUCUUUAAUCUCUAACACUAAUCGUCAGAUCAACUUGAAUAUAAUGCAUGUUCUUCUACUCAUCAAUUGGUACAGAUCCAUCGUACUGAUCGUUGAACCAUUGCUUGGAGCUCGCUAGCUUGGCCUUUUAAAAAAAAAAAAACCCUUUAUAACCCAAUGACUUAAAUGAGAGUGACCAUUCUGUAAUAUUUUGAAGUUGAGUGAUUUGAAUAUAAACCUACUAAUAGUUAUCUUUGGUUUAGUUUACCCAAAAAUAUAUAUUAUAUAUAGUUAAUAUAUGUCAUAAGUCCCUAUACUAUUCAUAAAAUUGAAAUUUAAUCCAUCUUAAUUUCUAGAAAUUUAAUCCUAUACUUUAAAGAUUUUUCAAAAUUCAAAUUCAAUUGUUAACAUUGUUAAAAUUAUUUUAUUAAAUUCAUGUUCGUUAUAACAUUAUAUUUCUAUCAAGUGAGUUUUUUUUUAAAUGUCACGCCAAUAAAUUUUAAAAAAAAAUAAUGUUAACAAGUGUACCAAUAUUUUGAAAUCUCAAGAGUAGAAGAAUUAAAUUCUUGAAAAUAAAAAGCAUAAGAACUAAAUUUGAAAUUUAUGAAGAGUACAAUGAUUUAUGACAUAUAUAAACCUAUAUAUAAUAAAAGAAAGGAAAAAACAAAAAUACCAAAUAAAUACCAACAAGUGUUAAGGACAACAUAUCGCAUAGGAGACACAAGUUUAAAUUUUGAACACAAUAUAGUUAGGAGAAGCAGCCAUAAACCCAAACACAAACAGUAAAAGGGACAUUUAAAAUACCAAAAAAAUUACAAAAUAAAUAAAAAAAAACUACAAAGGGAAGUUUAUGCUGCAAGAGAUGAAACGCUGUGGACCAACUAAUUUUUACUCGUCAACUAAUUGGGUAUAGAUCCUUUGUUCCAUAUUCAUCAUCUACCAUUGUAAGAUAUGGCUUCCAAGGCCUCCCUGACGGUAUCAGAGUAAUUCUGUGCCUCUCUAAUGAAAUUAAUUGAUGACGGUUGGCCGGCUCGAAACACAACCUCAUUUCUCAUUUUCCGGAUAAUAAACAGACACCCAAAAGUUAAGACUGUAUCCUGAUCACUGAAGACAACCAGUGAGAGAUAUUAUACCGUGACAAUAAAUGGGAUGUACAUCUAAGCUAGACACAAGGAGAUAUGUCUCCUUAGUACUUUCUACCAUUGGAGAUUGCAACUUUACCCCCAAAUAUCAGACUAUCGUUACGUUUUCUCUAUGAAGAAGCCUUGGACACAUCCUUAGUUGACCUAUUGUACUUCAUAUGGCUCUUAACUAAUUGUCCUGCUGCAAUUGCAGACAUAAGCGACAGCUCCCCUGCAAGAACAGCAGACGCUACAAUGGUUGCCAGCGUCCUAGAGUUUGCUCCUGGUGUCUCUUUGCUUGCACCCUUCACUCCAAGUAAGUUCAAACAGGCUGAUUGAGAUGCAAGCUGAGUUCCACCACCAACAGUCCCAACCUAAAAGAUACAGCAACACAGAUUAUUAGAGACUAACAUAAAUACCCAGAUUUUGUUUUGGCAACGAAAGUCCUUGUGUUGGAUAAUCAGACAGCAACACUAUCAAUUACCUCGAUGGAAGGCAUUGUGACAGAGACGUGGAGGUCCUUUCCAUCAUUAACAGCUUCCAUCAUCGUGAUGCAAUGCGAGCUCUCGACAUUUUGAGCCGGAUCUUGGCCGGUAGCUAUGUAGAUUGCAGCAACGAUGUUACUGGCGUGAGCGUUGAAUCCACCCAGAGCUCCAGCCAUAGCUGAUCCAGUAAGGUUCUUAAGCAUGUUAAGCUCAACGAGAGAUUCCACACUUGUCUUCAAGACCUUCCUAACCACAUCACCCUUAAUGGUGGCUUCACAGACAACAGAUUUGCCUCGUCCUUCAAUCCAAUUUACCGCAGCCGGUUUUUUGUCGGAACAAUAGUUUCCUAUAUGCGCAAAUUCAUAAAUAUCAGUGAUCCUAUGUCGGAACAGUGAAAGACAUAAUUACAAGCCUAUACAAAAAACUGAAACUCACCAGAGAUGCCGAUGACAUCCAUGUCAGGGAAAUCAGUUUGAAGGAAAUCCAAAACGUUUUGCACUCCCUUGGAAACCAUGUUCAUCCCCAUAGCAUCACCUGUACUGCAAGUGAAUCUAAUAUACAGAUUCUUUCCAGCAAUUGCACAUUUGAUACCUUGGAGCCUGCCAAAUCUACUUGAUCUGCAACCACCAAAAAGCCAAAAUUUUCAAUAUUAGCUUGAAUUUUAAAUCCAUCAAUAUGGAGUUCUAGAAAUAUCAACACAAACCUGUUGAAAACAACAGACAAGGUCUCGAAAUUAUCAGGGUCCUCCAAAUACAACUUCAAAUCAGCUGCCCUUUUCGCAGUACCGAACCUUACACAUGGAGCUCUAGUCAUACCAUCUUUCAAUAGAACACUUGUAGCUCCACCAGACAAAUGAAUAGCCUUACAGCCCCUAUUAGUGCUAGCCACCAAGCACCCUUCCGUGGUUGCCAUAGGAACCGAGUACUCUCUUCCAUUAACCAACAAAGGCCCGGAAAUUCCAACGGGAAUUUGCACGUAGCCAACCGGCAUCUCACAACACUGCCCCAAAAUCGACUCGUAAUCAAACCCAUCCAAGGGCAAUCCUGAUAACGACUUCCCUGUUAAUCUUUGCAACGCUUCCCGCCUGAUUGCGGCCGCCCUCUUGCAAUCACCCAAUUUCGAUUCCAAGGAAUACGAAGGGGUUGUACCAGCCACUACAGAUUUAAUUAUUUCUUCAUCUUCCUCCGUUAGUACCGUCACAGGCUUUUCAUCGAACACCUUCUGAACGGUCACGAUUGGUGCCGCAGGAGGCAGAGGUGGAAGCGAACAAUCGAGAGCUUGCCCGCAAGGGACCUUACGGGCAUCUUCCUUUGCAAGCAGAACUUCAUCAUCCUCUUCCUCGUCCUCGGCAAUCCAAACGUCAGGCGAUGGUUGGAAAACCAAAGAUUGAACGAAGUCAAUCCCAAAGAAACCCAAAAGGUAAAUAAAGGACGCUAAAAAUGAGAGAAUGGCGAUGAUCUCGGAAAAGGUGACGACAUGGAGAGGUGUGGAGGUACGGAUCUUCUCACGCCAACGGGAAAGAAGAAAAUAAACCACCGAGAAGAAGAGGGUGAAGAACAGGGCAUUCGUUAGGUGCAAGGGAAGCGGCAAUGCGUCGGAGGCUUUACCGUGAUCUUCCUCUAAAGGAAUCUUCUUCGUUGGCUUGAGAGAUUGAACAGGUUUAGUCGAAUACAGCCGGGGAGCCUCCAUAUUGGGUGUCGACGGCGCGGAAGCCCGGCAGUGGAGAAGGAGAAUAGAAGAGGAGUGGAAGUGAGAGAGGAUUUCAGUUAGUUUUACGAUUAUGGUGAAGGUGGAGUUGGAGAUGCUGGAGUUUAGGGAGGGAAGGGGAGUAUUUAUAGGACAGAGAGUAAAGAGUGGUGGAGCGUGAGGAAAAAGGCGCGUGAAGUGAAGUGUUGGGCCCGUGUGAGUGGGGAGUCAAAGAAAGAAUUUGAAGGGCAGUGUUUGCGUGCAGUGCAUGUGCAUGGGGGCGCAUUGCAUUUUCCUUUCGUUUGGUCUUAUCUCCGUUAACUGCUAUUUUGUAUCUCUUUUAAUUAUUCCUUAUUUUGGGCAUUCAUUAAUUAAUAUGAGACCAUAUUUAAACUUUUGAUGAAUGGUAGUGAUAAAUAUAUAUAAUCUCGAAUAUAAAUCGUAAAAUUAACAUUAAAUAAAUAAAUAUAUAUAAUAUAUGUGAUAAAAUUUAUCAUUAGUAAUAUAGAUAAAGAUCACAGUGGAAUUUACUUCUUCGAUAUUUACAUAUUAUUAGUUUUAUAAUUGUUUAUACAAUGUUUAAAAUUAUAUAUAGCUCCUCUUAAAGGAUAAUGCGCACUCACUGAGUUAGGACUCAAUCGAUAACAAUCUUACAAAUUUUAUUUUAUAUAAAAAGAAGAGCUUCCAUUUUUUAUUAAAAAAUUACAGAUACAAUUGUGUUUAUUUUGAACAAAUGAAUUAUUCAUAUGAAUAUACAUUUUAGGGUAAAUAUUUAUAAAAAUUAAUUUUUUAAACUGGUAUGGUGAUUAACUAUUUAUAUUUAGGGUUUUGCACAGUUUUGUAUACGAUGGUGUAUUAAAUCCUGUGAAAAUAUUUCAAUGGAGAAGGGAGAAUUCAGUCUAUGACAUGAAAUUCAAAAUAGGAUGCCUGCUUUAUUAUUAUAAAUAUUGAUUCAUGCCGUCACCAUUAUUAUUUUAAAUCCUCUAAAUGAUUUAUAUAUUUAUAUAAUUUUGGAUAAUUUAAUUUAUCUUUUAAUGGAAAUGUUAAAAAAAUAAACUAUUAAAAUAGUCACUUUUGUUUACCUUAUAUUACAUUUUAGUUGUUGUAACAUUUUAGUCACUGAGCGGUUAAGUGUCAUUAAUAAUAUAAUGGUAAGCUAAUAUGGCAUGUUAAAUCAUCAUUUCAAACAAAAAAUUCAGGUUAAAUUAUACAAUUGGUCCAAUAUUUCUCUGUUUUGAACAAUUUUUUUCUUUAUUUUCCAUUCUCUUUUAUUUCUCUCUUUGUUUUCCUCCCUUUUUCAUUUUUUUAACUUAAUUUUUCUAUGUUUUCUAUUUGUUAAAACUAGUCCCUAUACUUUUAUUUUUUUGAACAUUUUAAAAUUUUUAAUUUUCCUUUUCUUCUUCUCCUUUAGUUUUAACAAAUGAAAAAUAUAGAAAAAUUACAUUAAAAGAGAUAGAAAAGGGAGAAAAACAGAGGAAGAAGUAGAAGAGAAAGAAAAAUAAAGAAAUUAAAAUGCUCAAAACGAAAAUAAUAUGGGGACCAAAUAUAUAAUUUAACCUAAAAUUUUUGUUUGAAAUGAUGAUUUAAUGUGCCACAUCAGCUUACCGUUACAUCGUUAACGGCUCAGUGACUAAAAUGUUACAACACGUUAACAUAAAUGACUAAAAUGUAACAUUUCAAACAUAACUGACUAAAAUAUAAUAAACUAAAGCAAACAAAAAAGUGACUAUUUUGAUUGUUUCCCUUUAAUAAAUGGUUCAUUACAGUAAUAUAUUAAAUUUAUUCUUAUUUUGUAUUAUUUUUCACAUGUGUAAUAUUCUGAUUAUUUUUUAAUGUUUAAUGUACUAACGUUUAAAUUUAUUCCAUCAUAGCCCAAGAAAAAUAAUAAGAAAUAGACGAUAAGAUUGAAGUAAUAUUUUUUCCAAAAUAACAAGCUUGCAUUCAUGCAUGAGAAUUAUUCAUCACCAUGUGCUAAAGACUUGGACUGUUUGUCAAAGUUUUCUUCAGAAAAAUCAUAUAAUUUAUAAUGGAAGUAUAAGCAGAGUCAGACCAACCAAAGAAGAAUCAUGAUAUCAUCUUUUUUUAUUGCCCAGUAUUUAUUUAGCAAAUAUUGACCGUAAUAUUGUCAUGGUCAGACCAUAUUAUUUUUGCACAAGUGACGCACGAAUAUUCAGUGUAGACUUGCUCAAAACAGUAGGAAAUGAUGAACAAGGUCAUUUCGUAGAAAUUGCAGUCAAUGCUCAUAUUUUGGCUUAAUCCAGCUGGAGUUUAGGUAAAAAUUGAUUCAAAAUUGGAUAACUAUAUAUAUAAUAUUGAUAUCAUAAAUAAGUUAUUUUAAUCCAAGUCAGUUCAAUCCAUGAAUACCUUUAAUAUGUAUACAUGAUAUGAUAUGUGAAAAAUGAGCUCAACUCAUGAAUAUUUCUCAUAUGUAUGCAUGCUUGAUGCAUGAUAUGUGGAAAAUAACUUAACUUGUUGUAUAGGUUUUGUACGGAGUAUGGACGGCAUUUAUAAGUUCAUUUUUGGAACUUGUAUUUUAGAGUGCAGUUGAGAACGUAAAUAAGUUUGUUGAAGUUUUCAGGGGGAGAAUUUAGAGGUGAGUAAUCUAGAUCUUUUGGUACAAAGUGAGGUUGCUCUAGCAGGAUGUGAUAAGACUUGAAUCAUUUGGUGUAUUGGGUUAAAAGAUAGUGGAUUUACUUACUAAGUUAGGCUUCACAAAUAAAGUAAAACUAAACUACGUAAACAACCUUUUGUGUUCUUGUUUUGUUGUUUUUGUCACAAUGCUACCUUCAAUUGGCAUAUCGCAAUUGAAGAAGCAAAAGUUUGUCUGGAAGAAGAAAGAUCCUAAGUGCUUGAUGUACAGUGUUUCGGUAAUGGUUGCUUUCAUCACAUGAUAGGUAAUCAUGCAUACUUUUCUAAUUUUGGAGAUCAUCAUAAGGGUCUAGUCACAUUUGGUGAUGGUAAGAAAUGUCAUAUCCAUGGAAACGGAACACUUAAUGUCCUUGGAAUGCUAAAGUUGAAGAAUGUGUUGAAAGGUCAUAUUGUUAAUGACUUGAAAGCUAAUUUGGUGAGCAUUAUCUAAAUGUGUGACUAAGGCAUGAUUAUCAAUUUCACCAAAGACAAGUAUCUGGUUUCAUCAAAGUCUUAUGAGAAGACUAAUGUUUCUAACUUAGAGUUGUGGCAUGAGAAACUUAGCCACAAUCAUUACAAAGGGCUCCGAAGAUUGGUUUGAUAUGUUGCUGGAAUAGGCAACCCAAAACUAGGUGGUGUCAUUCCUAAAGUCCGUUAUGGAUGCUUGAAAGUUAGAGAGGAUCACAUGGAGAAUCAUCAAAGGUUGUCACAUAUCCAAAUUAUUGCAUCUCUCAAGUUACUACACAUAGAUCUCAUUGGACCUAUGUGAAUCGAGAGCAUUGGAGUAAACCGUUAUGUCCUAGUCUAUGUAGAGGACUUUUCAAGGUACACAUGGGUGAGAUUUUUUAGAGAAUUCUAACACAUCUAAAGAAUUCAGGAAACUAUGCAGAAGAUUUUGUCAAUUUUUAUGACGAGGAAAUGAUCAAACUAAGGCACCGCAAUAUAAUGGAGUUAUGGGACACAAGAACCGUACCAUAUAGGAGAUGGCAUGAGUGUUGCUUAACAACAAAAGAGUUACUCAUAAGUUUUAAGUUGAGGCAGUGAACAUUGCAACCUAUAUCUUUAACAAAGUUCUUACUAGGCGAAAAACUCACAUGACACUUUGUAAGAUGUGAAAUGGGAGGAAGCCAAAUGUCAAGUAUUUCCAUGUGUUUAGAAGUACCUUGAUAGGUGUCGAAUCCACCAAAAAUGAAAUCCUACCCCUAAACAGGAUAUAAAUUAGAAGUUUAAGGAGUAAGGUCGAUCCCACAAGGACUAAUUUAUAUGAACUUGUAGUUUGUUAUAACCAGGACGUAUCGUAAGCAGUUUUGUGCCCAUGAUUUAUGCUAACCUAUACGAAAUAGAAAGAAGGAUUAAAUAUGAAUGUAACUAAAUGUCAAAAAUUAAAUAAUAAUAAUGCAAUAGAAAUAAUCAAAUCAGAAUUAAAAUUGAAUAACCUAAUAAGAUGGAUUUUGACUCUGGCUUUGGAUUGAUCCCAAACAAUGGAUUUUUUCCUCCAAUUGAUAAGUCGGGUAUAGUGACCAAGGAACAACCUCAAAUACCAACCCUUUCGUAUGUAAAUUAACUGCGGGAACAACUCUAAGUUAACCCGUACCAGGUAAAUAACACUGAAAGCAACUUCCAUGAUUUCAUUCCUUGACAACCUCGCGAACUAGAGGGACUCAGCUCAAAUUGACAGCCUCAAUUGCAUGGGUCCACACGCCUACUACCUUUUCCAUCUUUGAUUUUCCAAGUUCUUUUGAAGCAAAAUCCAAGGUUUGUUUGAGCCACAGAGCAUCUUGAAAGAGAAGUUGCUAAGUUGAAAUUCUCUCCAAAAUGGCUCGAGGGAAAACAUGAAUCAAUAGCCCCAACUGAUCUAACUGAAGGAGAAGAAAAAGUUGAAUCUGACCUUGAAACUGUAGCAAUUGCUCCUAUAGUGACUAUUUCAGCAGGUCUUGUGAGCAACCUAGCAGGAUUCAAUCAAAGGAUGGUUAGCAUUUUACUGCUUCUAUUGACUCUCAAAAUUGAUUCAUCUCCAAACUUCGAACUGAAAUCCAAGUCAUUCAACAGAUUCGAGAUCAAGAAAUUGCUUUCCGCAAUGAUUUAUUAACUCAUUCCGAACAAUAAUGUUUGACAUAUUUUUAAAAAAAAGGGAAGUAAAGAGGAAGGAGAUGAUGGCUAAGAUGGUGGCAAGUUGAUUGCUCCUACUAAUGGGAGUUUAUUUUACUUUUGGUUAUUACAAGCUUCAUUUCAUUUUGGGUAUUUCUUUUGAAAUAUUUGUAAUGAUGAACUUUUCUAAUGGAUGGAUGGAUUUUAUUUUGGCGUACAAACUCUUAUCUUCAUCUUACUUAGAUAUAAUUUUAGUAUUUAGAUUGUUGAUACAAAUACUUAAAAGGCAUUAAUGGUUGAUUUACUUGAUUAUGUUUUAAGUUAAGUGUGACGGAUAAGGGGAUUGUACUAAGGGGAAGCAUUUUUUGUUACUGUUGAUAAGCUUCCUAAUUUGAAUUGGUUUUGUUCAAAAAAUUGUAGAAGCAAGUUUCAAAAGUGGCCAGCAAAGUGCCAACGGUAGUGGCCACUAUAGAUAGCAUUGCAAUAGACUCUAUUACUAGCCAUGUUUAGAGUUAGCUUGAAAACGAUGAUGAUAUUAUGAAAAUAUGAAAGUCCAUAUUAUAUUAGUUUUUAUUAUUUAUUGCAUUUUGCUAGUUUAGCUGGUGACACGUUCAAUAAAUAUAAUUUUAAAGGUAUUUUUGUUUUUUUAACUGCAAACUGUUUGGGCAAUAAAUUUAUUUCAAAAGUUGCUUUCAAAUGCUUUAAAAGUUACGGUGUAGUUUACACUAUUCUCAGGUUACAUGGCCUGAAUUUGUCUUUAAAAGAAAGGAAAGAACAAAAUACAAAAUGAAUAAAGAAAAAUCUUUCUGUUCUGUAUAAUCUAUCUACUCCCAUUUACCCGUAGGGUGGCGUUCUUCCGUUCAAUUUCAAUGGCAUUGAUAGAGGGCAGCUUCCACAAGAUGAGUUUAAUCAUCGCCAACUAAUCGUGAAUAACCAAUAUUAAUAAAUAAUCUCCAUUCUUCUCAACCGCCAUAACUGCUCCAUCAACCUGCUAUGUCGGGUGAAAUGGGAACGUACACCUGAGCUACACAAAGGGAUAUAUCUCCUUAGUAAGUUUCUACCAUGGGAGAUUGCCACUUUACCCCCAAAUAUAAGGCCAUCAUUACGUUUUCUCUAUGAAGAAGCCUUGGACACAUCCUUACUUGACCUAUUGUACUUCAUAUGGCUCUUGACUAGUUGCCCUGCUGCAAGUGCUGACAUGAGUGACAGCUCCCCGGCAAGGACAGCACCUGCUACAAUGGUUGCCAGCAUUCUAGAGUUUGCUCCUGGUGUCUCUUUGCUUGCACCCUUCACUCCAAGUAAGUUCAAACAGGCUGACUGAGAUGCAAGCUGUGUUCCACCACCAACGGUACCAACCUAAAAGAUACAGCAACAGAUAUAAUUAGGGGGAUUCAUAAAUACCCAGAUUCUGUUUUGGUAAUGAAAAUCCUUGUGAUGGAUAAUCAGACAGCAACAUAAUCAAUUACCUCGAUGGAAGGCAUUGUGACAGAGAUGUGGAGGUCCUUGCCCUCGUUAACAGCUUCCAUCAUAGUGAUGCAAUGAGAGCUCUCAACAUUUUGAGCCGGAUCUUGGCCCGUAGCUAUGUAGAUUGCAGUGACGAUGUUACUGGCGUGAGCAUUGAAUCCACCCAGAGCUCCAGCCAUAGCUGAUCCAGUAAGGUUCUUGAGCAUGUUAAGCUCAACGAGAGAUUCCACACUUGUCUUCAAGACCUUCCUAACCACAUCACCCUUAAUGAUGGCUUCGCAAACAACAGAUUUGCCUCGUCCUUCAAUCCAAUUUACAGCCGCUGGUUUUUUGUCGGAACAAAAGUUUCCUAUAUGGACAAAUUCAUAAAUUUCAGUAAUCCUAUAUAGAACAGUAAAAACAUAGAACACAAUUACAAGUCUAUGGAAAAGUGAAACUCACCAGAGAUGCCAAUGACAUCCAUGUCAGGGAAAUCAGUUUGAAGGAAAUCCAAAACAUUUUGGACUCCCUUGGAAACCAUGUUCAUCCCCAUAGCAUCACCUGUACUGCAAGUGAAUCUAAUAUACAGAUUCUUUCCAGCAAUUGCACAUUUGAUACCUUGGAGCCUGCCAAACCUACUUGAUCUGCAACCACCAAAAAGUCAAAAUUUUCAAUAUUAGCUUGAAUUUUAAAUCCUUCAAUAUGGAGUUCUAGAAAUAUCAACACAAACCUGUUGAAAACAACAGACAAGGUCUCGAAAUUAUCAGGGUCCUCCAAAUACAACUUCAAAUCAGCUGCCCUUUUCGCAGUACCGAACCUUACACAUGGAGCUCUUGUCAUACCAUCUUUCAAUAGAACACUUGUAGCUCCACCAGACAAAUGAAUAGCCUUACAGCCCCUAUUAGUGCUAGCCACCAAGCACCCUUCCGUGGUUGCCAUAGGAACCGAGUACUCUCUUCCAUUAACCAACAAAGGCCCGGAAAUUCCAACGGGAAUUUGCACGUAGCCAACCGGCAUCUCACAACACUGCCCUAAAAUCGACUCGUAAUCAAACCCAUCCAAGGGCAAUCCAGAUAACGACUUCCCUGUUAAUCUUUGCAACGCUUCCCGCCUGAUUGCGGCCGCCCUCUUGCAAUCACCCAAUUUCGAUUCCAAGGAAUACGAAGGGGUUGUACCAGCCACUACAGAUUUAAUUAUUUCUUCAUCUUCCUCCGUUAGUACCGUCACAGGCUUUUCAUCGAACACCUUCUGAACGGUCACGAUUGGUGCCGCAGGAGGCAGAGGUGGAAGCGAACAAUCGAGAGCUUGCCCGCAAGGGACCUUACGGGCAUCUUCCUUUGCAAGCAGAACUUCAUCAUCCUCUUCCUCGUCCUCGGCAAUCCAAACGUCAGGCGAUGGUUGGAAAACCAAAGAUUGAACGAAGUCAAUCCCAAAGAAACCCAAAAGGUAAAUAAAGGACGCUAAAAAUGAGAGAAUGGCGAUGAUCUCGGAAAAGGUGACGACAUGGAGAGGUGUGGAGGUACGGAUCUUCUCACGCCAACGGGAAAGAAGAAAAUAAACCACCGAGAAGAAGAGGGUGAAGAACAGGGCAUUCGUUAGGUGCAAGGGAAGCGGCAAUGCGUCGGAGGCUUUACCGUGAUCUUCCUCUAAAGGAAUCUUCUUCGAUGGCUUGAGAGAUUGAACAGGUUUAGUCGAAUACAGCCGAGGAGCCUCCAUAUUAGGUGUCGACGGCGGCAGAAGCCCGGCAGUGGAGAAGAAGAAUAGAAGAGGAAUGGAAGUGAGAGAGGAUUUCAGUUAGUUUUACGAUUAUGGGGGAAGGUGGAGUUUGAGAUGCUGGAGUUUAGGGAGGGAAGGGGAGUAUUUAUAGGAUAGAGAGUAAAGUGUAGAGAGAGCGUGAGGAAAAAGGCGCGUGAAUUGAAGUGUUUGGCACUUGUUAGUGCGGAGCUUUACCAAGUGAAGAGUCAAUGGAAGAAUUUCAAGGGAUGUGUUUGGAAGCGUGCGUGCGUGCGUGCAGUGCAUGUGCAUGGUGGGGCAUUGCAUAAUCCUUUCAUUUGUUCUUUUCUCCUGCCACAUUUGGAGAAAAUGCUGAUUUUAAAAAAAUAUUCAGGAAAAUAUUUUUUUUCCAAUAUUUAAAAAAAUAAGUUGAUUUUGAAAAAAAUAAUAAAGCAUAUUUUGCAGAAAUUGUUUUUUUGCUGAAAAAGCUCGUAGGAUUAGUUUCUACUUUUUUAAUACAUUAGCUCAUUUGGUUAGAUGAUUAAAUGUUAAUUAUUUUGUCUUUUAAGUCUCGAGUUUGAUUCUUCUCUUACUCACAUUUGUAUUCUUAUUUCAAGUCGUUUCAAGCUUUGCUUUUAUUUUUAAUUAUGGUUUUUAACACAUUAACUCCUUUUGUUAGAUUGUUAAAUAAUAGUGAUUUUUUUUGUGAAAGAAAGGAAACAAUACAAGCUAAAUCCUCAAAGGACGGUCCACAAACAAUCUUAAGCCUAGACUUCUAAUGCAAACAAUCUUGGCUAGGCUAUCCGCAAUUAGAUUAUUUCCCUUGGGAACAUGCUGAAUUUUCCACUGCUCUAGCUUUUUAAGCGUCUGAUGAAUUCUCCUAAUAAUGGUAGAAUUGGAGAUACCCGUAUCAUCUUCCAUGAUAUCUUUAAUAGCUUCAAUACUAUCAGUUUGAAUAAGGACAUUUUGGAAACACCUAUCUGCCAUAAGAUUCAGCCCAUCCAAAAACCCCCAGAGCUCUGCCUCCAACACUGAACAAUUACCCAAAUAUCUCGCGAACCCUAUAAUUCACUCUCCCUUGUAAUCUCUCACGCAACCUUCCGCAGCUGCAAAGCCCUCGUUAAUCCUAACUGAACCAUCAGUGUUCAAAUAAACCCAACUGUAGGAGAUAUGGCAAUUAGGUAGAGUUCUUUGGGCUUCAAACUUUGAGAUCGAGGAAACAGAGGAAUACUAUUUAACCCAACUAAACUAGAUUUUAAUAAUUUCCUCAACACUCCACGAAAUUCUUUGGAAAACAAAUAUGUUGCGACUCUUCCAAAUACGCCACGUAAUAAUUCCAAAAAGGUAGGACCAAUCGAUUUCCCCUGUCGAAGAAGUCAACUGGUUCUGCAAAUUAGUCGCCGUCCAAUCAAAUAAAGAGCCUGAGUAAAAACUAGAAAAAGCUUGUUGAGGAAUGAUUUUAUCCCAAACUCCUUUGGCUGCAGGAUAAUCUCGGAGUAUAUGCAUCACAUCCUCCAAAACAUGACUACAAAUACUGCAAGUGUUGUUACUCCCACAACCUCGUCUUACUCUUUCAACAUUUGUAAGCAGCUUUUGCUUUAAGACAAGCCAAAUAAAGAAGCGGAUCCGAUAAGGGCCUUUAAAUUUCCAAGGUAUCCUCCAAAACGCUUCCUUGGGAUUCAAAGUGUCUUCACAAUGGGAUUCAAAGUGUCUUCACAAACCUUCCUAUAUGCACUCUUGAGAGAGAGAAGGUGUCAGUCGAGGUGGCUCCCCAAAUAAGUCCUAGCUUCGAUUUCUCUUUUAAGCAUAUUUGUAUUUUUUUUUCACAUUGUUUCAAAUUUUUCUUAAUUCAUCUUUUUAAUUAAUAAUUCUUUUAUUUAUAAAAUUAAAUAAUUAUUUUAAAUUAUCUAAUAAAAAAUAUAUUCUGAUAAAAAUGAUAUUUUUCAUUAUGUUAAAUAUAAUUUAUUUUUUAAAACAUCAACUUUUUGUUAUAUUUUUCUUUAUGUAAAAUAUAUAGGUUCUCCAUGUGGAUAUGGUGAUUUCUAAUAUUAUAAAAUCAAAUAAUUAUUUCAAAUAUCAUUAUUAUUUUUAUACGUAAAAUAUUUUAAAUAUCAUUAUUUUUUCAUGUACAUUGUAGGUAUGAUAUUUCAAAUAUUUUUAUACAUGAAAUAUUUCAAUUAAUUAUUUGAAAUUACAUUAUGUUUAUAUGUGAAAUAUUUCAAUUAAUCAUUUCAAAUUACAUUAUGUUUAUAUGUGAAAUAUUUCAAUUAAUUAUUUCAAAUUACAUUAUGUUUAUAUGUUAAAUAUUUCAAAAAGACGUACAAAAAUAUAUAAUACUAAAAUUUAAUACGUUCAUGAUAUGGAUUGAAAAUAAAAUUACACAUAAUAUUUAUAUUUAUUAAAGAUAAUGAUAUUUGAAAAUGAUUAUUUUAUUUUUAAAUAAAAUAAUUAUUAAUUAAAAAGAUAAAAAAAACUUGAAAACAAUAUAUUUAUUAAUUAAAAAAUUUAAAAGAAAACUUGAAACAACAUGAAAUAAAAAAAAGUACAAAUUUGCUUAGAAUAGGAAUCAAACCUAGGACUCAAUGAUAAAAUCACUAUUAUUUAACCAUAUAACCAAAGAAAUUAAUGUGAGUAGGAGAAGAAUCUAACCCGAGACUCAAGGACAAAACCAUUAAUAUUUAACUAUCUGACUAAAGGAAUUGAUAUAUUAAAAGAGUUAGAAAACACGCACUAUAAAAUGCAUUAUUUUAUUUGUCUCUCCAAAUUUAAAACCUUCUAUCAGUCAGCUGCUAUUUUGAUGUUUUCUGUCACUUAUUUAGCAUUAUUCUGCCUUUUACUUAUUCCUAAUUUUGGGUUGUUUUUCAUUAAUUAAUUAAUUAAUUAGAGAUCAUAUUAUGAAUGUAUUUAAUAUUUAUGGAAGUAAUGUUAAAAAGAAAUCUGGAGGUUUUUCUUUUUGCUCAUGAUUAAUUGGAUAAGUUUACAUUUUUACAAAAAAAAAAUAUUAAGACAAAGUCAGAGUGAAAAAAUAAUUAAGCAAGAAAAAUUCAGAAAAAUAAAUUGAUUCUUCAAUUAAAAAAAUGUAAAGCUUUAUUUGUUUUAUUAUUGAAAAAAAAAGGUCAUUCCCAAUUACUAUCAUUAAUAGUCAAAUUAUUAUUAUUUUUUUUGCAUGUUUAUUUCAUGUUAUAUUUUAACAAAAUAAAAGAAAUAUAUACUUUUUUUUAUAAAGAUUUAUUAAAUUACAGUCCAAAUUUGACAUUUAUAAUAUUAAAUAAAAUCUAAUCCACAUUUGACUCCUUAAUUAUCACGUUUCUUCCUUCCUUAAUUUUCAGUCAGUGAAUCACAUUAAAUUCAAAAUAGGAUGCAUAAUUAUUUAUUAUAUAUACAAGUGAUUGCAUAUAAUAUUAGUUCAUGCAGUCACCAGUAGUUGAAUAUUAACAUUUACAACUAUUUCCCGAGAAAAUGUAUGUGUUUUGUAUUAUAUAUAUAAGUUGGUAAUGCUGAUUGAGAAAAGACUUUUAAGAGGCUUUAAUAUCAUUGAGUUAUUAAGGUUAAGCCACUUGCUCGACUUAGUUUGUGUUUACUACAUGUAUUGUGUGUUUGGCUGUUGCAGAGUAUCCUCAGUGGAGGAGAAAAAUCAUCUGCUAUUUUUUAAAAUUCAUAUUACUAUUUUACUAUUUUACCUUUUUAAAGUAGAUCAUUUUUAUUUUUUUUAGUGUUUAAUGUACCUAGACGAUAAGAUUGAAGUAAUUUCUUUUUCCAAAAUAAUAAGCAUGCAUGAGAAUUGUUCAUCGCCAUGUGCUAAAGACUUGGACUGUUUGUCAAAGUUCUCUUCAAAGAAAUCAUAUAACUCACAAUGAAAGUUUAUAUAUAUAUAUAUAUAUAUAAUAUAAGNNNNNNNNNNNNNNNNNNNNNNNNNNNNNNNNNNNNNNNNNNNNNNNNNNNNNNNNNNNNNNNNNNNNNNNNNNNNNNNNNNNNNNNNNNNNNNNNNNNNAAAUUGGUAUCUCGUUAAACGCGCGUUGUCUUGCUUUUCAAAAAUACAAGUUCAAUUUAAUAGUUAAUCGCGAUCCGAUCAAAAUACAAAUUUUUUUUAAACACGAAGAUUUUUGAAACAAUUUUUUGAAAAUACGAUUUUUUUUAAAAACACGAGAAUUUUAGAGACACGAAAAUUCUUAAAAACACGAAUAUUUUUGAAAACACGACAAAUUUUUGAAAACAAUAUUUUUUUGAAACGCGAAAAUUUUUGAAACACGAGAAUUUUUUAGAAAACAGGAAAAAAAUAAUUUUUUUUGAUCAUCGGAAUUUUUGAGAACACGAAAAUUUUUGAAACACCGGGAUUUUUGAAAACACGAGGAUUUUUGAAACACGAAAAUUUUAAAAACACGAAAAUUUUUAAACAGGGGAAUUUUUUCGAAAACACGAAAUUUUUUGAAUAUUUACAAUUUUUAAAAGGACGUAUCGUAUUUAACAUAAACCGGUGAUAUUCACCCAACAUAGCGAUGAAAUCAUCGAUUUAAUGUUAAAUCGAUUCGUUGCCUUAUUUAUUAAAAUUAAAUUAAAUUAAAUUAAAAACAUAAAUACAAAAAAUAUAAAAGUGCAUAAAAAUACCAAUAAUAUUAAAACGAAAUGACAUAAAAAUACAUGCAUUAAAUUAAAAAUGAAAUAAAUAAAAUUACCGAAAAUGUCUGAAAUACGAGCUUCGCCGAACGGGUUACACAAAUUAAAACCCGUUUUUUCUUUUUUUCUUCUUUUAUCUUCCUUUUUCCUCUCUUUUUCUUUUUUUUUCUGGACUGGGCUGGCCUGUUGGGCUGCUGCUAGGCCUGGGGGCUGCUGCUGCACUGGGCCUGGGGGCCUGCUGCUGCGCUGGGCCUGCAUUUGGGCUGCUUCUUUCUUUUUCUUUUUUUCUGCUUCUUUCUUUCUUUCUUUUUUCUGCUGCUUCUUUUUCUGUUUUGGUUUUUUUUUUUGGGCUGGCCUGCUACUGCUGUUGGGUUGUUGGGUGCUGUGGGUCGGGUCAAUUUUGCGGGUCGGGUCGGCCCGAUUUAAAAUAAUUUUUUUCUUUUUUUCUUUUUUUCUUCUUUCUUCUUCCUCUUUUUUUCUUCUUUCUUUCUUCUUCUUUCUUUCUCUUUUUCUUCCUUUCUUUCUUCCCCGAUCAGGCCCCCCUUCGGGUUGCUUUCGUCGACGGCGACCUACUUCCCACCGACGGCCGACGGUGGCGCUCACGGUGGUCUUCCCUUUCCCCUUUUUUCUCUUUUUCUUUCUUUUUUUUUUCUUUUUGCUUGCUUUGCUUUUUUUUCUUUUUUUCUUGCCUCUUGGUUGUCUUGCUAGGUAUCGGGGCGGCGCGAGUGCGGUGGCGGAUGCGGUGGCGCGGACACGACGGCGGUGGUGCCCCUUUUUGCUGUUGUUUUUGCUCUCCUUUUUUUUUUGCUCAAAAUUUGUUUUUUUUUUUCCUUUGCUUCCUUGCUUCCCCCUUUUUCUUCCUUGCUUUGGGGGUUUUAAAACCCAUUUUAUUUUGAUGUUCUCUUCUUUUUUUGCAGGUUGCAGGUGGGCUAGGGAGGGCUUAGGUCGGCCGCCGCGCGUUGCAGGUGCAACUUGUGUCAGUGGCAGCCAGAGGGACCAAAAUGUAGUGGCAGCAAAACUUUUGGGGCCGAAACAUAAUUUUGAGAAAGUUCAAGGGUCCAAAUGUAAUUUUAAGAAAGUUUAAGGGUCAAAAUGUAAUUUAGAAAAGUUUAGGGGUUGAACUGUAAUUUUGAGAAAGUUUAGGGGUUAAAAUGCAAUUUUAAAAAAGUUUAGGGGUCAAAAUGCAAAAAAAUUAAAAAAUUUAAUUUUAAUUUUUUUUAACGAAAGUUAUUCCCGGACAAAAUUCAGUGAUUACAGCUGCCCCUCUUUGCUCAUCGCUGUGAAACAGGGAUAGAGCAAAGACUUAAAAGCACUGAAUUUUGUUCGAUCAUCCAAAAUUUUUCUUUUUAUUUGAAAAGCAGAAAUCGAGAAUAGCUCAGCGUGAAACCCGAGGCCCAACUCACCUCUAGCAAUAUGAGUUGAUUUUUUUGAAAAGCAAGAAUUGAAAAAUACCUCGACGUGACUCGAGGCUCAACUCACCUCUCGCAAUAUGAGUUGAUUUUGGAAAAAUAGAAAUUGAAAAACACCUCGACGUGACUCGAGGCUCAACUCACCUCUGGCAAUAUAAGUUGAUUUUUGAAAAACAGAAAUUUAAAAUACCUCAGCGAGAGACCCGAGGCUCAACUCACCUCUCGUAAUAUGAGUUGAUUUUUUGAAAAAAUAGAAAUUAAAAAAAAUACCUCAGCGUGACUCGAGGCUCAACUCACCUCUGUAUUAUGAGUUGAUUUUUUGAAAAAAGCAGAAAUUAAAAAAAUACCUCAGCGUGACCCGAGGCUCAACUCACCUCUGUAUUAUGAGUUGAUUUUUUGAAAAAGCAGAAAUUUAAAAAAUACCUCAGCGUGACCCGAGGCUCAACUCACCUCUGUAUUAUGAGUUGAUUUUUUGAAAAAAGCAGAAAUUAAAAAAAAUACCUCAGCGUGACCCAAGGCUCAACUCACCUCUGUAUUAUGAGUUGAUUUUUUGAAAAAAGCAGAAAUUUAAAAAAUAACUCAGCGUAACCCGAGGCUCAACUCACCUUUGUAUUAUGAGUUGAUUUUUUGAAAAAAGCAGAAAUUAAAAAAAAUACCUCAGCGUGACCCGAGGCUCAACUCACCUCUGUAUUAUGAGUUGAUUUUUUGAAAAAAAAAUAGAAUUUUAAAAAAUAUUUCUUGAAAGAAACAGGGUUUCAAAAAACAUCUGGUAAAGCUAAAAGCCUUCUUCUUCAUUGAUUCUGUGCAGUUUUCUCCCAGUAUUCCUUGCUCUACUGGUAUACCUGUAUAUGUUAUUUAUGAUGUUAUUAUGAUAUGCACAUGUUUGUCCUAAAUGCUUUUGUGUCUACAUGAUCAUGCAAUGCACCCUGGGCUAUUUGUCACGUGCCCCACUUUUGAUUUUUGUGAGGGUCCGCAUUUAUUUCCUCAAUUCUUGACUUUUCUCUCCAGUUUUGUACUCAUCCUCAAGUUUGGUGAGUAACCCACAUUUCUUCGUAUAUCACCCUCUUGCCCCCUGUUGAACUUUUUCUUGCUUUAGGGUCCUUGUAUUUAUCAAGUUCUCAUCCAGGUAAUGCUCAACAUUCCCUUUGUUUAGAGUAUGUCAUCUUACUAUUUAUCAUUUAAAUGAAUCAAACACGAGAUGCAUACAAAAGACAAAGUAGGCAUGAAAGAAAUACCUCACAUUCAUUUUUUUAAAAGCAACAAUCGAAGGAAAUUGAUAAGGAAAGUUUAACAAAUAAAUUGUCAUAAAGAAAAGAAAGCGAGUUCAAUGGCCAGAAAUGCUCUAGAUAUCCAAUGCAUGAACUUUCCAAGUUUCUUCAUCCUGGAUCUUUUCGAGCACGGCUUCUUGUGUAGAAGAUUUUGAGCUUCUGAGAAUGCUUCAAAUAUUGUAACCUCGCCAUUCGACUCUCCGUUCAAGCCAAUUGGCUUCUUCAAGCCCGAGCCCACUUUAUUAGGACGCCCUUUUGGGUUUUCAUCCUAAUCCUUUUGUUUAUCAAGACGCCCUUUUCGGGUUUUCAUCUUGAUUUUUCUUUUUUUGUUUUGUUUUUGUUUUGUUCCUUUGUUUUGUUAUUUUUUUGUUUUUUUUUUGUCUCUCUUUUUUUUAGGCAUAAUAUUUCUUCACAGAAUCUGAGUUCACUGGAUUAGGUAAUUCUUUCCCGUCCAUCUCAGUGAAAAUCAGAGCCCCUCCUGAGAAUGCCCUUUUUACAACGUAUGGCCCUUCCCAAUUUGGUGACCAUUUUCCUCGAAAGUCCUUCUGAAUCGAGAGAAUCUUUCUCAGUAUGAGCUCUCAUUCGCAAAAUUCUCUUGGCCGCACCUUUUUAUCAUGGGCCGUAAUCAUUCUCUUCUGGUACAUAUGUCCAUGACAAAUUGCCUUCAAGCGUUUCCCUUUAAUAAGGUUUAGCUGAUCAUAUCGAGCUCGAACCCACUCUGAUUCCUCUAACCUUGUCUCCAUCAAGACGCGCAGGGAUGGGAUCUCUACUUCGAUAGGCAAAACGGCUUUCAUUCCAUAGACCAGAGAAAAAGGAGUUGCCCCUGUAGACAUCCGUACAGAGGUGCGAUAUACGUACAAAGCGAAUGGUAGCUUCUCGUGCCAGUCUUUAUAUGUCUCAGUCAUCUUCCCGAGAAUCCUCUUAAUGUUCUUAUUAGCCGUUUUUACUGCUUCGUUCAUCUUUGGGCGAUAGGGCGAAGAAUUAUGAUGCUUUAUCUGAAAUUGCUCACAUACUUCUUUCAUCAUCUUGUUGUUCAAAUUUAAAGCAUUAUCUGAAAUGAUUCUUUCAGGCAGACCAUAUCGACAUAUGAUCUCAUUUUUUAAGAACCUACAGACCGCAGCCUUUGUCACAUUAGCAAAUGAAGUGGCUUCUACCCAUUUUGUGAUGUAGUCUAUAACCACAAAGAUGAAUCGAUGUCCAUUGGAAGCUUUCGGGGAAAUUGGCCAUAUAACAUCCAUGCCCCACAUAGAAAAAGGCCACGGAGAAGUAAUGACAUGAAGGGGCGAUGGAGCUGCAUGAAUUUUAUCACCAUAAAUUUGACAUUUGUGGCACUUUCGUGUUUAGCCAAUGCAAUCGCUUUCCAUCGUCAGUCAGUAAUAACCAAGUCUCAUAAUCUGCCUGGCCAUAGUGAAACCACUGGCAUGCAUUCCAAAAAUUUCUUCAUGAACCUCUUCAAGUAUCUUUCUAGCUUCAACAGCGUCCACGCACCUAAUGAGCACUUGAUCUUUUCCUUUUUUGUAUAGAAUAUCCCCAUCAAGAAUAAAUCCAACCGUUAUUAUUCUGAUUGUUCUGUUGUCAUUCUCGUUUGCCUGCUCGGGGUACCUUUGAUUCUUGAUAUACUCCAAGAUAUCAUGGAACCAUGGUCGUCCAUCUGACUCCUCCUCAAUACUAAAACAGUGUUCGAGGGUCUCAUAUAUACUCAUUUGGAUGGGCAUUAUCUCAGUUUCUCUGUUUGCUUUGAACAUCGAAGCCAAGGUGGCUAGGGCAUCAGCCAAUUGGUUCUCCUCUCGUGGAAAGUAGUUAAAAGUCACUUCUUUGAAUUCUUUGACCAAUUUCGCAACAAGAUCGUGGUACUUGACUAAUUUUGGAUCUCUCACUUCCCAAUCCCCACGAAUUUGAUAAAUGACUAAUGCUGAGUCCCCGUGCACUUCUAAGAUUUUGAUUUUCCUCUCGAUAGCUGCACGAAGCCCUAUGAUGCAAGCUUCAUAUUCCGCUAUAUUAUUGGUACAGAAGAAGUUCAAUCUGGCAGUGAGCGGGUAAUGAUCUCCCUCCGGCGAUACUAAGACUGCUCCAAUCCCAUGCCCCAAUACAUUUGAUGCACCAUCAAAGCUCAUUUUCCAUGAUUUCUCUCUUGAUGACUCACCCUCUUUUUCUGAAAUGCAAAUCAAGUCUUCAUCUGGGAAAUCAAAUCUCAAAGGCUCGUAUUCUUCCGCUGUUCGACUUGCCAAGAAGUCAGCUAUCGCACUUCCCUUUAUCGAUUUUUGGCUCAUAUACACGAUGUCAUACUCAGUCAGUAAGAUCUGCCAUCGUGCUAUUCUUCCUGAGAGUGCAGGUGACUCCAUCAUGUACUUUAUUGGAUCCAGUUUUGAAAUUAACCACGUCGUAUGAUAUAACAUGUAUUGUCUGAGCCUUCGAACCGUUCAAAUCAAUGCGCGACAAAACUUCUCAAUUGAAGGGUACUUUACCUCAUAUUCUGUGAACAUUUUGUUGAGGUAGUAAAUCACUUUUUCUCUUUUCCCCGACUCAUCAUGUUGUCCCAGUACGCAACCCAUUGAAUUCUCAAACACGGUCUGGUACAAUAUUAAGGGUUUUCCAGGGGUUGGCGGUACUAGUACCGGAGGAUUAGAUAGAUACUGUUUUAUCUUGUCGAAAGCCACUUGACAUUCCUCGUUCCAUUCUCCCGGAUUAUGUUUUUGAAGAAGUCAAAAAAUUGGAUCACACUGAUUGGUAAGUUGGGCAACGAAUCGAGCAAUGUAAUUCAACCUUCCUAAAAAUCCUCUGACUUCCUUUUGUGUACGCGGAGGUGGCAGUUCUUGUAUAGCUUUCAUAUUAUCUUGAUCAACUUCGAUACCUCUCUCACUGACAAUAAAACCUGACAGUUUUCCCGAGGUAGCCCCAAACGUACAUUUGGCUGGGUUAAGUUUCAACUGGAACUUUAUUAACCUUUCGAACAGCUUCUUGAGAUUCCCAACAUGCUCUUUUUCUCCCCGGGACUUGACAAUCAUAUCAUCGACGUAAACUUCUAUUUCUUUGUGCAUCAUAUCAUGAAAUAACGUCACCAUGGCUCUCUGAUAUGUUGCCCCAUCAUUCUUUAAUCCGAACGGCAUUACCUUGCAGCAAAAGGUCCCCCACAAUGUUAUGAAUGUAGUUUUCUCCAUGUCCUCGGGAGCCAUCUUUAUCUGAUUAUAACCUGAGAAGCCAUCCAUGAAAGAAAACAGAGAAUGUUUUGCCGUAUUAUCCACCAAAGUGUCGAUGUGUGGUAAAUGAAAGUUAUCCUUAGGGCUUGCUUGAUUCAGAUCACGAUAAUCCACGCACAUUCGCAACUUGCCAUCUUUCUUCGGCACUGGGACUAUAUUAGCUACCCAUUUUGGAUAUUUAGAGACUUGUAGGAAGCCAGCAUCAAUUUGUUUCUUGACUUCUUCUUUUAUCUUUAACAGCAUUUCGGGUCUCAUCCUUCUUAAUUUCUGCCGAACGGGCUUGCAUUCUGGUUUCAGUGGGAGCUUAUGAACCACUACAUCCUCAUUCAACCCUGGCAUGUCCUGAUACGACCAGGCGAAUACAUCUUUGUACUCACGGAGCAAGGCGAUCAAAUUCUGUUUGGUGUUAUCUGAAAUGGAAAUAUCAAUAUUCACUUCUUGUUUCUUUUCUUCACUUCCCAAGUUCACUGUCUCAACAGAUUCUUGAUGGGGUAGAAUCUGUUUCUUUUCUUGUUCAACCAUUCUCAAUAAGUCAGGAGGCAAGACACAAUUUUUAGCAUCUUCCUCGGCUUCAAAUUCUUCUAAACAAACAGCCUUCUCAAAAUCGAUUUCAGGACUUGUAACGGGAUUGUUCAUGCCAUGGAUAUCUGAGCACUUGAAAGGCGGAUAGAAAAGACUGCUAUAAGAGAGCAUCAAAGUAUUGGAAUCAACAAACACAAUGUUAUGGAAUGAGAUAUAUGGAGAGAAAGGAUAUGAAGCGAUGAGGGUAAUUAUGAAACUGAUAGAAAUAAAAAGAUCAUGACAAAAUGCAUCUUCAUUAAUGUUCAUUGAAAUGAUAAAGAGCAAACACAAGCUCUUACAAAAGGAAUCCCACUAUUUAGGGGCACACAAAAUAAAUGGAGAAGUAACAUUGGGCAUUACUCUGGAGAGGACUUAGAAACUACAAGAAGGUCCACAGCAGUCCAAUUGUUCAAAACAUAUCUUGGAAGACAGGGGUGUAUCAUUGAAACAUCCUCAAUUGUAUCACUCUCAUUGAAUUCAACAUUCAUAGCCCUAGCCCUUAAAUGUGUUCUAUAAGAAUGACGUGAUUCCAGACUUGUAGUAUCACAACUGUGGAUUUUGCGGUUCUGGCCUUAGUGAAUGAUUAGGGUGAUAUGUACAUGCAAUGAAUGAAUGAAUGAAUGACCAAUGGAUGCUAGUCAUGCGUAAAUAUGCAAAAAAAAUGGUGUUGAUUUCAAGAUAGCCCCAUAUUUUGGCAUUUCAUUUAUCAAAAGAGUCAAUUACAAAAUAUUUUGCCAACGAAGAUGACCCUAGUUCUUGAGUUUCACUGUUUCCAAAUCCUAGUCAAAUCUUCAGGGUUAUUCUGACGAGCAUUCGAAGUCGUCUUCUCGGAAAGAUCAGAGAUAUAUCUUUCCUUUAAAUUGUCCCUUUUACUUUCUCGGCCCUCAAAGACCAGUCUCUGACUACGACAUUUUUCUUGAUUACCUGUGUAAUUUGACUCCUUCAUCAGAAACCCGUUUUUGGCAACCAAUCUCUAAUCAACACCUUCCUAAUGAGAUAUCUACGAUGCAUGAUGAAAAAUAAAAUGAAGAACAAAUAACAUUGGUUAGAGAUCACAACAGAUAUAAACAGAAGGAAAAUAAAAAAUAAAUACUAUGGAAAAUUUAACAAAUUAAGCUAGUCAAUCAGCAAUUUGGUGGAACAGACCCACAUUUUUUUUUGCCCCAACAUGCUUUACAAAAACCUACCCCACAUACCAUCAGACAAUCUACCCGACCCAAUUUAUUAAAUAGACCCAAUUCAUUUGCAAAUAAGUGUAAAUGUAAAAGAAAUAAAAGGUAAGAGGCGUUUCUCCCGUGUACUUAUUUUGGUAACUAUCAAACGGACAGAGGUUCGGCAUGGCUCUAAUUGGGUGGCUCGUACGGUUCNNNNNNNNNNNNNNNNNNNNNNNNNNNNNNNNNNNNNNNNNNNNNNNNNNNNNNNNNNNNNNNNNNNNNNNNNNNNNNNNNNNNNNNNNNNNNNNNNNNNUCUUCUAAAGAAAUACAUAUAACUACACAAUAGAAGUUAAUAUAUAUAUAUAUAUAUAUAUAUAAGCAUAGUCAGGCCAACCAAUGUAGAAAAAAACUAACAUGAUAUCAUCUUUUCUUAUUGCCCAGUAUUUAUUUAGCAAAUAUUGACUGUAACAUUGUCAUGAUUAUUUUUGGACAAGAACAAGGUCAUUUCCACACAGGUAGAAGUGCAGUCCAUGCUCAUAGCUUACAGAAAAAAAAAAUAUUUCAGUAAAGAUUAUGUAGCGACCUAAAAAUUUGGGGUGAGCGCUAAUCGAAAUGAUUGUUGAAAAUUUGAAGACGGUGUUUCGAUUUUAUUUGAAAAAGGAGUCGCCACCGAUCUUUUUUCCUAGGUGUGAUCGGACACCUAAUAAAUUCUCUUUUAGAAGAAGAAUUUAUUUUUUUAAUUUUUCUAAAAAAGAGGUAAUUUUAGGUCUACGUGAAAAUCCAGAGAAAAUUAGGGUUCGGGAGUCGGUUACACGCGAGGAAGGUAUUAGCACCCUCGCGACGCCCAAAAUUGGUAUCUCGUUAAACGCGCGUUGUCUUGCUUUUCAAAAAUACAAGUUCAAUUUAAUAGUUAAUCGCGAUCCGAUCAAAAUACAAAUUUUUUUUAAACACGAAGAUUUUUGAAACAAUUUUUUGAAAAUACGAUUUUUUUAAAACACGAGAAUUUUAGAGACACGAAAAUUCUUAAAAACACGAAUAUUUUUGAAAACACGACAAAUUUUUGAAAACAAUAUUUUUUUUGAAAACGUCGAAAAAUUUUUUGAAAACACGUAGAACUUUUUUUAGAAAAACUAGGUAAAAAAAACUAAAUUUUUUUUUAGAAUUCAAUUUUUGAGNNNNNNNNNNNNNNNNNNNNNNNNNNNNNNNNNNNNNNNNNNNNNNNNNNNNNNNNNNNNNNNNNNNNNNNNNNNNNNNNNNNNNNNNNNNNNNNNNNNNNNNNNNNNNNNNNNNNUUUGAAUAUUUACAAUUUUUAAAAGGACGUAUCGUAUUUAACAUAAACCGGUGAUAUUCACCCAAUAUAGCGAUGAAAUCAUCGAUUUAAUGUUAAAUCGAUUCGUUGCCUUAUUUAUUAAAAUUAAAUUAAAUUAAAUUAAAAACAUAAAUACAAAAAAUAUAAAAGUGCAUAAAAAUACCAAUAAUAUUAAAACGAAAUGACAUAAAAAUACAUGCAUUAAAUUAAAAAUGAAAUAAAUAAAAUUACCGAAAAUGUCUGAAAUACGAGCUUCGCCGAACGGGUUACACAAAUUAAAACCCGUUUUUUCUUUUUUUCUUCUUUUAUCUUCUUUUUUCCUCUCUUUUUCUUUUUUUUUUCUUGACUGGGCUGGCCUGUUGGGCUGCUGCUAGGCCUGGGGGCUGCUGCUGCACUGGGCCUGGGGGCCUGCUGGGCCUGCUGCUGCGCUGGGCCUGCAUUUGGGCUGCUUCUUUCUUCUUCUUUUUUCUGCUUCUUUCUUUCUUUCUUUUUUCUGCUGCUUCUUUUUCUGUUUUGGUUUUUUUUUUUUGGGGCUGGCCUGCUACUGCUGUUGGGUUGUUGGGUGCUGUGGGUCGAGUCAAUUUUGCGGGUCGGGUCGGCCCGAUUUAAAAUAAUUUUUUUUUUCUUUUUUUCUUCUUUCUUCUUCCUCUUUUCUUCUUUCUUUCUUCUUCUUUCUUUCUCUUUUUCUUCCUUUCUUUCUUCCCCGAUCAGGCCCCCCUUCGGGUUGCUUUCGUCGACGGCGACCUACUUCCCACCGACGGCCGACGGUGGCGCUCACGGUGGUCUUCCCUUUCCCCUUUUUUCUCUUUUUCUUUCUUUUUUUUUUCUUUUUGCUUGCUUUGCUUUUUUUUCUUUUUUUCUUGCCUCUUGGUUGUCUUGCUAGGUAUCGGGGCGGCGCGAGUGCGGUGGCGGAUGCGGUGGCGCGGGCACGACGGCGGUGGUGCCCCUUUUUGCUGUUGUUUUUGCUCUCCUUUUUUUUUGCUCAAAAUUUGUUUUUUUUUUUUUUCCUUUGCUUCCUUGCUUCCCCCCUUUUCUUCCUUGCUUUGGGGGUUUUAAAACCCAUUUUAUUUUGAUGUUCUCUUCUUUUUUUGCAGGUUGCAGGUGGGCUAGGGAGGGCUUAGGUCGGCCGCCGCGCGUUGCAGGUGCAACUUGUGUCAGUGGCAGCCAGAGGGACCAAAAUGUAGUGGCAGCAAAACUUUUGGGGCCGAAACGUAAUUUUGAGAAAGUUCAAGGGUCCAAAUGUAAUGUUAAGAAAGUUUAGGGGUCAAAAUGUAAUUUAGAAAAGUUUAGGGGUUGAACUGUAAUUUUGAGAAAUUUUAGGGGUUAAAAUACAAUUUUAGAAAAGUUUAGGGGUCAAAAUGCAAAAAAAAUUAAAAAAUUUUUAAUUUUAAUUUUUUUUUAACGAAAGUUAUUCCCGGAUAAAAUUCAGUGAUUACAGAUUAAAUAGUUGUAUAUGAUAUUGAUAUCAUAGAUAGAUGAAUCGAUUUAAUUUAAGUCGGUUCAACUUAUAAAUACCUUAAUUUUAUAUAAUAUAUAUGUGUAUUUAUAUUAUUAUUUAAGUUCUUGAUUGGGUUAGCGUCACUCUCAACCGGGUCACCAAAUUUACUAGGAAAAUUAUUGAAAUGUUCUUUCGUAAUUAAAAUAAGUUGUAUUAUUCGAAGGUAUUUUUGCCUUUUUAUUUUUAAAAAGUAAAUAAAAAUAUGUGUAUGGUGGUAUUUGAAUCCAAACUAAUUGGGUUAGAAAAAUAUUUAAUUUAUCACUCAACUAAAACCUUUUAUUUUGAUAUUUUUAUAUAUUUUUUAUUUUAUUAUACACACUUUAUUUUAAUACCGUACAUAUUUCAUGUGUUAUUAUGCUUAAUUAGUUUCAAAUCAUGUGUUUCAUUAUUUAUUAUUUGUUAUUUUUAAACACAUAUUUGUACUCUAAUAUUUAUAAAAUAACAUAAUCCUCGAAAAGGAAACAUGCACUUCUAGGUAAGUUAAGUUUUUACCAAAUGACACAUGUUGAUAAUUGACACUUUAGGUGGUUAUUGAUGGCCUUGUAAAGUCUUUCGAUCUUAACAUUAUACAAACCAAAACCUUAGUAUUGCACAAACAAUUAUUUUAGUAUCUUUAGAAUAAUAUGAUUAUCAUAAGUUUAAAAAUAUCUGAUGCGGAAUUGAAAUUGGUCAUUAGAUUUUAUGAAGAAGAACACCCGAUAAAUUGAUUUCUCCCUCUUAACCUUUUUCCCUUAACUACACAAAUAAGGAAAAAAAAUUUAUGUGUUUUGUGUGCAACUCUAAUAAGUAAAGUGGGAUUAAUUUAUAAUGAUAAACUUUUAAUCUGAUCAAGUAACCCAACGAAAUGAUAAAAUUUAAUUUCUAUUAAAGUAAAACUUUUAGGCCCCAUGAUUUUAGAGUUAUUGGGUCCACAUAAUUGGGAUAAAAAUCUUACAUUCUCUCACUUGGCCUAAUGAGAUAAAACAUAAACUUUAAUAGAACAAUUGUUGAGUGCGCAUAAAAAUAAUAUAAAAUUUGUCAUUAAAAUUUGAUUAGGUUGACCUCAUAUAAUGUGGCAGAUGAUUAAUAGAAAAUAAACAUGUUAAAUUGACAAAUUUUGAUAGAAACUGCCAACGAUAAUAAUAACCAAAUUAGAAUUUUUAAAUUGAAAAGGGAGGACUGAAAUUUUAACUUUUAAAGUACAAGAACCCAAUCUCAAAUUAAUUACAAGUACAGGGACUAAUAACACAUGUUAGCUUCUUCUUCUUUUUUAGGUAACAAAAAUAAUCAAUAUAUGACCAACAUGCGGUAGAAAUUUAUUUUAUUUUAUUUUAAAUAUUAAAUUACUUUUAGUUUAAUUAAAAUUUUUAAUUUUUUUUAAUUUAACAAUUGAACCGAGUGAUAAAAUACUUGCAAAUAAAUAUUCUGUGGGCAAAGAUUUAAUCAUUAAAUAUUACAUUUUUAAUUAUUUCAUUUAAGUACGUCGCAUAAAAAUAGUAAAAAGCGAAAGUAUUAAUAUUAUAAUUUUGAGACACCUUACAUGCGAUUCAAUUGUCUAAUCCAAAUGCGCGACUUCACAUUAUGUUGUCAGGGUAACUCAAACUAACUUGAUAUCAUUUUACUAAGUAACAUACAUUCAAACAAAUAAAUCACGUAUAAUUUCAAUUAAAUCAUGUGUACAUGUUUAAUGAAUGUCAAUUGAUCUAGUUUAAAGUAUUUAGGAGUUGUAUAGGAUCAAAUAUAGAGUUGGGAUUCGAAUCCAAACUCAUUUAUCCAAAUUUUAUAGGGGGUUUCGAGACAUGACAUUCAUGUCUCGAGACACUAAUAUAAUAUGGUCUAAAAUGAACAUUUAAAUGCAUUCAAUCACAAAUCAAUUCGUACCUAACUUAAACAAACUUUACACAAUUUCAUAUGCAUCAAUUUAACAAACAAAUAUAUAACCAAAUAUCCAAACAAUUUAACAUCAAGUCACCUCAACCUAAUGUAGUUAAAUAAAUGGCUUAAUACUUAAAACCAUGCAAACUCAUUCAUUACUCAAGCAUUAAAACUCAACAAAAGAAACCUUAUAGGUCCAUAGCUAACCAAAGCAUACCAUAUUGACCAAAACAAUAUUUAACUCGAGCUGAAUUACUGACCUUAAAUGCUUUACAAUUUUGAUCUACUAAAAACCUGUUUGAGAUCUGCGCAUAAAAACAAACACAACUAUACGUUGAGUAUUAAAUACUUAAUGGUGCUAACAUAAUCUGAAUUCAAAUAUAAAACAUUAAGCAAUUUAAUAUACUAAAUAAACAUUUUAUUUAAUAGAUUCAAUAUCAUAAUACUAAGGGCCAGUUCUUCAUUGCUUAACAAAAGCACUUCUGACUCCAAAAGUACUUUUGAAAGAAAAACUGUGAAGAACAAGCUGCUUUUGGCUGAAAUUUUUAGCUUUUUUCUGAAAAGGAGCUGAAAAUGAGAAGCUAAAAAUUUUAGCUUUUACUCUCCCAAAAGCACUUUUUGUGCUUAAUUACUUUUUCACCCCUCCAAUAACAUAGUAUUUUCCUUUUUUUUCUUGGUGCUUAAUUACAAAUGUGUUAAAAUUAUUAAUUAAAAAUAAAAAAUAUUUCUUAAAAUACUAAUUACAAAUAUUUAAUGGUUAUAUUUAAAUAUUUAAAAUAUAGUUUAUAUAUUCUAAUUAAAUUUUAUAAAUAAUUAAUAUUUAUUGCUUAAAAAUAUUUAAAAUUUAUAUUUCAUAUAUUAAAAUAUUAACAAUAAGCUAUAAUAAUUUUUUUAUAUUCUUACUAAAAUAUAAUAAUAUUAACUAAUUUAAAUAUUAUUUAAAUGCAUAUUUGUUACUUGAUAAUAACAUGUCUAAAAUGGACAUUUUAUUUCUCAAAAGCACUUUUUGACAGUAAUACUAAACACUCAAAUUUUAAGCCAAACUUUUCAAAAGCACUCCUCAAAAGCACUUUUCCACAGCACUUUUUAAAAGCAAUGAAGAACUAGCCCUAAGAUGGCAUUCUAGUAUUUCAUUACCCAAUUUCAUAUCGAGCAACAAUCAUCCCGUAACUUUAUACCAUUUCAUUUAUUCACCCUCAGGGUAUUUAAGUGACAUUUACCUAUGCAAUCAAUUUUCUCCUCGUGAGGCAAGUUCCAAUGUCACGAUACCCAAAACAAUAUUGAAAUUGAGAGUCUUGGAGGUCUCGGUGUCAUGAUACCCAUCUUUGGUAUCGCUAUAUCACUGGAGUUGACCUUAAGUUUUUUCACUUCAGCAUUGUUAGGGGUAUUACAACUUUCAUGACCUCAAUGUCGUGAUACCCCGUUCUAAAUGAUAAUUUCCUCGAGUUUGGGCCAUUAUCAACUUCCUACACCAACUCAAUCAUAUCACUAGGUCCCCCAUGGCGCCAUUUGGGUCUUAAUAUGGCAUAAAACUAAUAAAAAUUAUUAAUUAAUAACAAAAACUAAAAAUCGACAAAAGUAAAGAAAAUACACUUAUAUUGCUUGAGAAUAAGCUCCUCGAGUGUAAUGGAAAGCCUAAUUUGACAUAUCAAAUUACGUCAGAUCACUUGUUCAGCACAGGUUCAAACCGUGUUACCCCCUUCCUCUACCCCUAAUAUUGUAUAAAAAAACUAAUUGCUAAUCUUCUAAUGUAGUCUCUGUACUAUAGUACUUAAUAGUUUAUAUAAUUUAAUUACUAAAUAAUUUUAUUUCUAAUUUAUCUUUUAUUUUUUUAAUCUCACACUCGCUUUGUAAUUGCUCGAUCAAAAUUUUGAACAACUCGAUUUAAUAAAUUUGAUCCCACAAUUAACUUUUCCGACAUUGAAAAAAAUCGAAUCAAUACAAUAUUAUAAAAAAAAAUUUUAAGUAUAGGUGUAGUUAGGAGUCCAUGUUUUUUUAUAUUAAUCUAGUUUGAAGAAAAAAUCAAAUAAUAAAAAGUAGCAAAUUUUAAAAAUUUAUUUUCCUAUAAAAAAAGUUGUUAAAUUAAAUUAUUAUCUUGAAUGAUGUUUUGGUAUAAAUUAUGCAUGGGUUCUUUUUAAAUCUAUUUUGAUUUAAAUUUCGUUGUGUGUGGACCAUAUUGAUUUAUAAUAUGUUUGGUUUGUGUUUUGUUUUUUUUUAAAAUAAAUUUGGGCUAAACUGGUGAACGAAAUAUAUCUUUAGAUGCUAAAUAGAAAUUAAAAAUUUAAAUAACCAAAACAAAUAUAUAUAUAUAUAUAUAUAUAUAUAUAAAAAUUCAAGAGCUCAAACAUGAAUAAAGGCUAAUAAAUUUUGUGAUAAUUUUCUCUCACCUAUAGGCAAAUAAUUUCAAAAAAUAAAUUAUUUGAUAUAUUAUUAAUAAAUUUUAAAAUUUUUAUUUAUGAAUUUAAUAAAAUGUUAUAAUUUUUACUAAAAUGAAAUAUAUUAAAAUAAUGUAACAAAAUUCAUAUUUUGAUUUAUUUGUGAAAAUUAAAAAUCUCAUCAAGUUUAUAUAAAAAUGUACUUUUUAUUUUAAAUAAACGAUAGAAUCAUUUGGUUGCACCGAAGUGCCUAUGUGUUGGGUCGGAUAGCACACAAAAUUUUCCUAAAGCUCUUGCCUAAGCAUUAUUUAGGAUGAUGGGCUUUGAUUGAUCUGUUAGCCCAAAAGGUUAUAUUAAUAUAUAUUUUAUAAUUAAAUUUAAAUAUAUUUUUUUAUUUUUAAAUGUGCUUCAGCACACUGAAAUUCACAAUAAUAACAAACGUUAAUUAAAUUAAUUAUUUAAAUACUAACUUUUUAUAAAUAAUGAUUUCGAUUUACAUGUUGAUCUAAGUCAUGCAAAAUGUCUAACGUACCAAUUUAUAUAACCAAAGAAAAUACUUUAAUUUGUAGUGUAAGCUACACCAUUAGUCAAUAAAUUAUUAAUACAUUUUUAUUUUGGUCAUUGAACUACUUAAAAGUUCUCAUUUAAGUCAUUAGACUGUUAAAAUCGAUGCUACAUGGUUUUCUCAAUUCGCAUUGCUUGCGCUAAUCGAAAGCUCUCUUUCUCAUUUUCUUCUACAGUUGAGUUUUUUUUUUAUGAAACAAUUUUGGAUGUUACAAAUCUAAAAAACCAAAAUUUAAACAACUUUUCCCUCCGAUCUCUUACAUUGAUCAUCACAUUGAUCUGGAUCUAAAGUAUGUUCUUUUACUCGUCAAUGGAUAUUGAUCCACAUACUGAUCCUCGAAUUGUUGCUUGAAACUCGCUGGUGGAACUUAAAAAAAAAAACUUAAUAACUUAGUGACUUAAAUAAAAACUCUUGAAUAGUUCAGUGACUUAAAUGAAAAUUUUAAAAUAGUUCAAUGACCAAAUUAUAAUUUUUUAGUUAAGUGACCAAAACAAAAAUUUACCCAUAAUUGUGUAUUUUUCACUAAUUUGUAUCACUAAAUUACUUUAAGGGAUAUUGAGGAGUGACAAUACUUGUUACAGAUAGGCAAAGUUUUCAUCAAAAUUUGAAAAAAAACCUAGUGCAAUAGUUAUAUAAACUUUAGGGUAAAUUACAUCAAUUGUCCCUAAUCUUUAAUUAAAAUUAUAUUUUAGUCACGUAACUUUCAAAAGUUACAUAAUUGUCAUUAAAGUUAUCGAAAUGUUACAUUUUAACCACUCAUCAUUUAACUUUCGUUAAGAAGAUGAUGUGGCACAUUAAUUUAACGGGUUAGUCCCUGAACAAUAAUUAAAAUAUCAAAUUGACACUUUUAAAAUUUUUCUUUAUAAUAAUUCUAAAAAAUUUAAAGGGUAAACUACUCCAAUAGUCACUUAAGUUUUAAUGCGUUCCUAUUUUGGUUACCAGAUUUUUUUUUUUGUUAAUUUAGUCAUUUCCAUUAGAUUAAUUGUCAUUUUUAGUCACUCCAUCGUUAAAAUACAUUAGUCAUUGAACGGAAUGUUGAUGUGGCAAUCUUUUGAUUGGUAUAAUAACAAAUUUAGCCCUUAACACUUUACAUAUUCUGUUUACUUGGUCCUAUGUUGAAAAAAUAAACAAAUUUAACUCAAUGUUUACACAUUUUGUCAAUUUAGUCCAAAUUCAAAAAUUUUAUAAUUUUAAAAACUUGAAAAAAUAUAUAUAAUUUAUUAUAAAAAGACAUAAAACUAAAAAAAUAUUAAAAAAAUAUAUAAAAUUACUUGGUUGGGCUUUGAUUGUAGAUGAAACAAUUUAUACUUUUCUUUGGCUGAUGCAAACUUGGUUUAUAGCAAUGGGGGAAUAGGCUCCGCAAGUGAUGCUCACUGAUCAAAACAAUGCCAUAAAAGUAGUUGUAGCUGCUGUGUUUCCUGCUGCACGACGUUGUUUCUGUGUUAUGGCAUGUCUUGGGUGACUAUCUAAGUAAUUUACCCUUUAAAUUUUUUAGAAAAAGAUUAAAAGUAUCAAUUUGAUAUUAUAGUUAUAGUUCAGGGGCUAAAUUAGUUAUUAACCCUUUAAAUUAACAUGUCGCAUCAUUCUCUUAACGAAAGUUGGGUGAUUUUAAUCAAAUGUGCAGUUUAUCUUAUGUAUAAACACCGUAUUAAUAGAGUUUAAUAAAUAUUGUUUUCGUAUAUGUAGAUUAGAUCGCUCAAUAGUUGAAUAGGUUACAUAGAUGAGGAAGUUAGGUUUGUAUAAAAGAAGAUUGAAAUGAUUCAAUCAUUUUUGUGAAAUAAUAUUGAACAAAUAAAAUUUGAACAUUCAUAAUAUUUUCUCAAAAUUACGAACUUCAUCGCAUAAAAAGAAAACACGAGACUAACGACUGUUUCUCGUUUGUUGACCAAUAUUAUCCGGAAGUAGCUUUCAAAUGCUUAAAAAGUAACAGUGUAUUUUACAAUAUUAUCAGGCUACAUGGCCUCACUUUGUAUUCAAUAUAUAUUAUAAAAGAAAGCAAAGAACAAAAAUACAAAAUAAAUAAAGAAACUUACAUAGUGCUUUAACUUAUUACAAAGGGAUUUGUCUCCUUAGUAUGUUUCUACCAUGGGAGAUCGCCACUUUUAUCCCAACUAUCAGGUUAUCAUUACGUUGCCUUGGAGACAUCCUUACUUGACCUAUUGUACUUCAUAUGGCUCCUAACUAGUUGUCCUGCUGAAAUUGCAGACAUGAGCGACAGCUCCCCGGCAAGAACAGCAGACGCUACAAUGGUUGCUAGCGUCCUAGAGUUUGCCCCCGGUGUCUCUUUGCUUGCACCCUUCACUCCAAGUAAGUUCAAACAGGCUGAUUGAGAUGCAAGCUGAGUUCCACCACCAACAGUCCCAACCUAAAAGAUACAGCAACACAGAUAAUUAGGGACUAACAUAAAUAUCCAGAUUUUGUUUUGGCAACGUAAGUCCCUGUGUUGGAUAAUCAGACAGCAACACUAUCAAUUACCUCGAUGGAAGGCAUUGUGACAGAGAUGUGGAGAUCCUUGCCAUCAUUAACAGCUUCCAUCAUCGUGAUGCAAUGCGAGCUCUCGACGUUUUGAGCCGGAUCUUGGCCGGUAGCUAUGUAGAUUGCAGCAACGAUGUUACUGGCGUGAGCGUUAAAUCCACCCAGAGCUCCAGCCAUAGCUGAUCCAGUAAGGUUCUUCAGCAUGUUAAGCUCAACGAGAGAUUCCACACUUGUCUUCAAGACCUUCCUAACCACAUCACCCUUAAUGGUGGCUUCACAGACAACAGAUUUGCCUCGUCCUUCAAUCCAAUUUACCGCAGCCGGUUUUUUGUCGGAACAAUAGUUUCCUAUAUGCACAAAUUCAUAAAUAUCAGUGAUCCUAUGUCGGACAGUAAAAAGACAUAAUUGCAAGCCUAUACAAAAAAAUGAAACUCACCAGAGAUGCCAAUGACAUCCAUGUCAGGGAAAUCAGUUUGAAGGAAAUCCAAAACGUUUUGCACUCCCUUGGAAACCAUGUUCAUCCCCAUAGCAUCACCUGUACUGCAAGUGAAUCUAAUAUACAGAUUCUUUCCAGCAAUUGCACAUUUGAUACCCUGGAGCCUGCCAAAUCUACUUGAUCUGCAACCACCAAAAAGCCAAAAUUUUCAAUAUUAGCUUGAAUUUUAAAUCAAUCAAUAUGGAGUUCUAGAAAUACACAAACAAACCUGUUGAAAACAACAGACAAGGUCUCGAAAUUAUCAGGGUCCUCCAAAUACAACUUCAAAUCAGCUGCCCUUUUCGCAGUACCGAACCUUACACAUGGAGCUCUUGUCAUACCAUCUUUCAAUAGAACACUUGUAGCUCCACCAGACAAAUGAAUAGCCUUACAGCCCCUAUUAGUGCUAGCCACCAAGCACCCUUCCGUGGUUGCCAUAGGAACCGAGUACUCUCUUCCAUUAACCAACAAAGGCCCGGCAAUUCCAACGGGAAUUUGCACGUAGCCAACCGGCAUCUCACAACACUGCCCUAAAAUCGACUCGUAAUCAAACCCAUCCAAGGGCAAUCCAGAUAACGACUUCCCUGUUAAUCUUUGCAACGCUUCCCGCCUGAUUGCAGCCGCCCUCUUGCAAUCACCCAAUUUCGAUUCCAAGGAAUACGAAGGGGUUGUACCAGCCACUACAGAUUUAAUUAUUUCUUCAUCUUCCUCCGUUAGUACCGUCACAGGCUUUUCAUCGAACACCUUCUGAAUGGUCACGAUUGGUGCCGCAGGAGGCAGAGGUGGAAGCGAACAAUCGAGAGCUUGCCCGCAAGGGACCUUACGGGCUUCUUCCUUUGCAAGCAGAACUUCAUCAUCCUCUUCCUCGUCCUCGGCAAUCCAAACGUCAGGCGAUGGUUGGAAAACCAAAGAUUGAACGAAGUCAAUUCCAAAGAAACCCAAAAGGUAAAUAAAGGACGCGAAAAAUGAGAGAAUGGCGAUGAUCUCGGAAAAGGUGACGACAUGGAGAGGUGUGGAGGUACGGAUCUUCUCACGCCAACGGGAAAGAAGAAAAUAAACCACCGAGAAGAAGAGGGUGAAGAACAGGGCGUUCGUUAGGUACAAGGGAAGCGGCAGUGCGUCGGAGGCUUUACCGGUAUCUUCCUCUAAAGGAAUCUUUUUCGUUGGCUUGAGAGAUUGAACAGGUUUAGUAGAAGAUAGCCGGUGAGCCUCCAUUUUGGGUGUCGACGGUGGCGGAAGCCCGAGACGAACGGAAAUGAGAGACAGCCGACGAUUUCAAUUAGUUUUCAGAGAAGGG